rnacentral:tRNA from 1 species
GCCUGGGUGGCUCAGUUGGUUGAGCGUCAGGCUUCAGCUCGGGUCCUGAUGUCACAGUUCGUGAGUUCAAACCCCACAUGGGGCU